rnacentral:rRNA from 1 species
GGCCUACACAUGCAGUCGAGCGGAAACGACAUUAACAAUCCUUCGGGUGCGUUAGUGGGCGUCGAGCGGCGGACGGGUGAGUAAUGCCUGGGAAUAUGCCUUGAUGUGGGGGAUAACCAUUGGAAACGAUGGCUAAUACCGCAUAAUGCCUACGGGCCAAAGAGGGGGACCUUCGGGCCUCUCGCGUCAAGAUUAGCCCAGGUGGGAUUAGCUAGUUGGUGAGGUAAUGGCUCACCAAGGCAACGAUCCCUAGCUGGUCUGAGAGGAUGAUCAGCCACACUGGAACUGAGACACGGUCCAGACUCCUACGGGAGGCAGCAGUGGGGAAUAUUGCACAAUGGGCGCAAGCCUGAUGCAGCCAUGCCGCGUGUAUGAAGAAGGCCUUCGGGUUGUAAAGUACUUUCAGUCGUGAGGAAGGUAGUGUAGUUAAUAGCUGCAUUAUUUGACGUUAGCGACAGAAGAAGCACCGGCUAACUCCGUGCCAGCAGCCGCGGUAAUACGGAGGGUGCGAGCGUUAAUCGGAAUUACUGGGCGUAAAGCGCAUGCAGGUGGUUCGUUAAGUCAGAUGUGAAAGCCCGGGGCUCAACCUCGGAACUGCAUUUGAAACUGGCGGACUAGAGUACUGUAGAGGGGGGUAGAAUUUCAGGUGUAGCGGUGAAAUGCGUAGAGAUCUGAAGGAAUACCAGUGGCGAAGGCGGCCCCCUGGACAGAUACUGACACUCAGAUGCGAGAGCGUGGGGAGCAAACAGGAUUAGAUACUCUGGUAGACCACGCCGUAAACGAUGUCUACUUGUAGGUUGUGGCCUUGAGCCGUGGCUUUCGGAGCUAACGCGUUAAGUAGACCGCCUGGGGAGUACGGUCGCAAGAUUAAACUCAAUGAAUUGACGGGGGCCCGCACAA